GAUGAACGCUGGCGGCGUGCCUAAUACAUGCAAGUCGAGCGAACGGACGAGAAGCUUGCUUCUCUGAUGUUAGCGGCGGACGGGUGAGUAACACGUGGAUAACCUACCUAUAAGACUGGGAUAACUUCGGGAAACCGGAGCUAAUACCGGAUGAUAUUUUGAACCGCAUGGUUCAAAAGUGAAAGACGGUCUUGCUGUCACUUAUAGAUGGAUCCGCGCUGCAUUAGCUAGUUGGUAAGGUAACGGCUUACCAAGGCAACGAUGCAUAGCCGACCUGAGAGGGGGGUCGGCCACACUGGAACUGAGACACGGUCCAGACUCCUACGGGAGGCAGCAGUAGGGAAUCUUCCGCAAUGGGCGAAAGCCUGACGGAGCAACGCCGCGUGAGUGAUGAAGGUCUUCGGAUCGUAAAACUCUGUUAUUAGGGAAGAACAUAUGUGUAAGUAACUGUGCACAUCUUGACGGUACCUAAUCAGAAAGCCACGGCUAACUACGUG
rnacentral:rRNA from 1 species